GUCUUCUAUCAAAGGAGAGAAGGUUAGCACUCACCUUGAUAAGGAGAGAAGAGGUCCUAGUGGCUUUUAAAGCACAUAUAUGGUUAAGGCAUUGCUACCUAGUCUAUAGCAUCUAACCAUGUUUUUGU
rnacentral:ncRNA from 1 species